rnacentral:lncRNA from 1 species
AGUUCCACGCUGUCCCGGAGGCUGAGAUUGACAGGCGCCUAAACUCCCUCAGAAGGCCCCUGCUGACCCGGGUUGGAGAAGGUGCAACUCCAGAUCCCAGGUCUGCUUAUACCCCUGGGACCCCACCCUCCCCAAACCGGUGCAGCGCCCCUGCUGGUGAAAAAGAGCAAGGUCCCCAGUGCAGAUUCUGGCGAGAGGGGUAUAAUCAGUCUAGGUGGGGAAACUGAGGCUCAGGAGGAAUUGGAGAGUCUGUGAUAUCUCCAGGUGUAGGGAUGGGUAAGGAUGCAGUCCCCUCCCCACUAGCUUUGUCACGGAUUCUGUGUGACUCGGUGAGCUUGGAAAAUGUGCUCCCUCCCUGAUCUAAAACUUCAGUACUCAUAGCUAAGCAAAGGAUAGGUGGCUUUUCCGGGUCCCUGAAUCUGGGGGACCUGCAGAAUUGGAGCAGGUAGGAACCCACACCCGGUGAGUUCUUCAGGCUUGAUGGUGUUGGAAGCCUCUCCUUCCCACUUAGCUCAGGAGACAGAAAAGAAAGUGUGUAUACAAUAAUAAUUGAACAAUAAUAAUUGGUGGUGUCUGGUGGUGGUGGCAGCUGCGGCAGCAGCACACAUCUUUAAUCCCAGCAGAAGCAGGGAGAUCUCUGUGAGUUCGAAACCAGCUUGUUCUACAGAGUGAGUUCCAGGACAGCCAGGGCUACACAGAGAAACCCUGUCUCGAAAAAUAAAUAAAUAAAAUACUAGUGCAUUAAUAUAA